rnacentral:misc_RNA from 1 species
AUCGAUCGGAGGAAAGUACAAAGAAAGAAAGAAAGAAGAUGGCUGCCUCCAUAAAUACUUUUUCUGGCAUCGUAGAGUUGAUCUGUGAAGCCAACACACUAAAUGAUCAUCUUUUAACGUGUAACCAUUUAACUUCUGCUGAAAGUCAACAAAAUUAUGAAGUAUGCAAGGCAAGAUGCAGUAAGCUCAAAGAAAAAACUGAACAGUUAAACUUGAAGACGAGCAAUGAUGAAGAUGCUAAAAGUAUUCUUGAGGAGUAUGCACAGAUUGUGUUAGACGUCACUUACAUUGACGAGAAUCAGCUUGUGGAAGAUGAUUUUCCUGAACAAACGGCAAACACUAGAAUACGAAAUGUUUUAAAUCACAUAGACAACAUUUUGUUAGUUGCCAAGAAGACCUUUCCAAAUCUUCAGCCAACAGACUGCCUUGGUGUAGAAAUAAUGGAAGUUAUACUGUGGAGGAAGGGUGCGUUACUGUACAUGUACUGUCAUCAAGUCAUUCCGGACAAAGAGCGCCUCAAGAGAAAUGUUAUGGAAAUCAAACAAAUACUCUAUGAUGGGAUAUCUUAUUUAAGACAGAUGCUUGAUGUUCGGAAACCUGACUGUCAACAGUUGUCUGAUCUUGAGCUGCAUGUUAAUGAUACUCUUCAACUAAUAAAAUCAGGUAUCUAUACAGACACUCACUUGCUGGCACUGAUGUAUUGCGGAGAAAUGUGUUACUGGUACGUCCAGGCUGUUCGAGAUGGACUCUUCGACUUGUCUCCAGAGUUUGCUGUCAAAGACAUAGGGAGCCGAGUGCUUAAAUCUUAUAUUAAGGCAGUACAAGGACCUCUAAAGGGAGCUGGGUGGACUUGUGACAGAGCUGAGGAACUCCUGGCAGUGAUAGUUAGCUAGUUGUUAAUAUUGUCUAGAGAAUGUAGUUACAGCAGAGAUUCAAAAUCUUUCUGGAAUUCUGAAUUUUAGCACUGUUCAAAUGCUGUUCCUGUCAUUGUUGUUGAAGGGGGGGUGGGGGAUCUAGUCGGUAGAGUGCUUAUCUGAGUUGCUCGAGUCGGAGCAUCAAAACCCCAGUGCCCCAGGUAUAUCAAAGGAUGUGGUAUGUGUUGUCCUGUCUGAGGAAAAGUACAUAAAAGAUCUCUCGCUGUUAAUGUAGUGUGUUUCCUCUAGACAAUAUAUCAUAAAUAUGAAAUGUUUAACAUCCAAUAGCUGAUGAUAUCAAUCAAUGUGGUCUAGUACAGAGUAGUAGUGUUGUUAAACAAGACAGACUUUCAAACUGUUGUUGCUCAAGAUCUUUCAAUGUAUUUAUCCAACGUCAUUUUUACCCCUGCUACAGUAAUAAAUUCUAAUUAGAUCGACAUCCAAGACCAAUACACUGCCAUCCAUAACAACUAACCAGGUUCCUGUCCAUAAUUAAUACACUAACCAGGUUCCUGUCCAUGAUUAACACACUAACCAGGUUCAUGUCCAUGAUUAACACACUAACCAGGUUCCUGUCCAUGAUUAACACACUAACCAGGUUCCUGUCCAUGAUUAACACACUAACCAGGUUCCUGUCCAUGAUUAACACACUAACCAGGUUCCUGUCCAUGAUUAAUACACAAGCCAUACCUUCCAUAAAAUACUAAUCAAGACCAAAACCUGGACUAGUGAUCAAAACUAAAACCAUGCCAUCCAUGAUUUUAUAAAAGUCAGUUUUACAUUGAUUAUUUGUGUAGAAAGUAUUCUGCAUGUAUUGUACAAGGUAUAUAUUUUAACAGUAUUCAAGAAAAAAAAAAUCUUAUGAUUUUAAACAAAUUAUUUAUUUAUAUUCAUUAACAUUUUGAGACGAUUUGUACAAUUGUGUAUCCACGAGAAUCACAAAUUGCAACUAUUUAUAAAUUUUACAGUUGGUUUGAGAUCAUUUUAUUUGGUGCUUUGGAAACAUGUUUCGUGAGUAUAUAUGAACUAAACUUAUCAAUGCAUAAAUUAUUCACUAGUAUCAUAUUUGAUGCUAUAUGUAUAUUGCUGUUAUUUAUUUUCAGAUAUAAAAUAUAUACUUUUUC